UCCUACGGGGGGCAGCAGUGAGGAAUAUUGGUCAAUGGGCGGGAGCCUGAACCAGCCAAGCCGCGUGAGGGAAGAAGGUACAGCGUAUCGUAAACCUCUUUUGUCAGGGAACAAAGGCGGGGACUAGUCCCCGGAUGAGGGUACCUGAAGAAAAAGCAUCGGCUAACUCCGUGCCAGCAGCCGCGGUAAUACGGGGGAUGCGAGCGUUAUCCGGAUUUAUUGGGUUUAAAGGGUGCGCAGGCGGCCUGUUAAGUCAGCGGUAAAAGCCCGGGGCUCAACCCCAGCGAGCCGUUGAAACUGGCGGG
rnacentral:rRNA from 1 species